rnacentral:tRNA from 1 species
GCGUCGGUGGUGUAGUGGUAAGCAUGGUAGCCUCUCACCGCAGUCAGUCGGGGUUCAAUCCCCGUCGACGCC